rnacentral:rRNA from 1 species
UAGGGAAUAUUGGGCAAUGGGCGCAAGCCUGACCCAGCCAUGCCGCGUGCGGGAGGAAGGCCCUCUGGGUUGUAAACCGCUUUUGGGAGGGGACAAAAAGCGGGUGCGCCCGCAAUUGAGUGUACCUCCAGAAUAAGCACCGGCUAACUCCGUGCCAGCAGCCGCGGUAAUACGGAGGGUGCGAGCGUUGUCCGGAUUUAUUGGGUUUAAAGGGUGCGUAGGCGGCCCGGUAAGUCGGGGGUGAAACCCGCGGGCUCAACCCGCGGAGUGCCCCCGAUACUGUCGGGCUUGGGUCGUCUCUGGGCGGGCGGAAUGGAAGGUGUAGCGGUGAAAUGCAUAGAUAUCUACCAGAACGCCGAUAGCGAAGGCAGCUCGCUGGGGACGUACCGACGCUGAGGCACGAUAGCGUGGGGAUCAAACAGGAUUAGAUACCCCUGUAGUCC